rnacentral:lncRNA from 1 species
AUGAAGGUUUAUGCAGUGACCACCAUUGCUGUCCUCUCGAUGCAGCUCUCUUUCAUGGUUCAGGCUGGGGAUGGGAAAGGGUUGGUAGCUCCAGAGAAGCAAGUGGGGGCUGAGAGAGUGAGAAAAGCACCUCAGCCAUCAGAUGGAGGAAAGAAAGCACCAGAAGACAGCUCAGUGAGGUGUCAGCCUGCUGCCAGAGUGCAGAAGGCAGCAGGAGAAGCUGGAGUUGGAGCAAGGUCCCACAGCAAACUGCUGAGCAAGCCACAGCGAGAAAGCAGUAAACAGAAGGCCACUAGCAAGCAGCAGAGCCCCCAGCUGCAGCCCCCCAAGAGAAAGAGCCCAGGAUCCAGCAACCACUUGGAAGGCCACGGGAAAUUCAAUACUGACACUUAUUCCUGUCCUGGGAUUCAGUCUAAGACCUGCCAGAAACCCUCAGAUUGUGAUGGCUGCCUUGGCCUCUACACCUGCAAACUGCCUAGGGGGAAGUGUGGUUUGAAAGCUGUUUCCAGGAAGACAGGUGGAUUCUACCAAAGCGUACAAAGCACCUGAGGUACUUGGUCCUGCUAACUGUUGAAUGACACAGCACGAUCUCAAGCUGGAAAAGUCGUACUGCAGCCUAGAGCCCCAAACUUUUUGUAUUUCUUCAUAGCUCUCAUUUUAAAUGGAAGAAUUCCAUACAAGAAACAUUUCACAGUCUUGCUUUUUAGCCUUCAACAUUCCAUAUGGUACAUAGAUUUGAAUUGCUCUUUCCUUAAGACUACCAAUGAAACUAUUUCAGUG